GGAAUUAUUGGGCGUAAGGGCUCGCAGGCGGUUUCUUAAGUCUGAUGUGAAAGCCCCCGGCUCAACCGGGGAGGGUCAUUGGAAACUGGGGAACUUGAGUGCAGAAGAGGAGAGUGGAAUUCCACGUGUAGCGGUGAAAUGCGUAGAGAUGUGGAGGAACACCAGUGGCGAAGGCGACUCUCUGGUCUGUAACUGACGCUGAGGAGCGAAAGCGUGGGGAGCGAACAGGAUUAGAUACCCUGGUAGUCCACGCCGUAAACGAUGAGUGCUAAGUGUUAGGGGGUUUCCGCCCCUUAGUGCUGCAGCUAACGCAUUAAGCACUCCGCCUGGGGAGUACGGUCGCAAGACUGAAACUCAAAGGAAUUGACGGGGGCCCGCACAAGCGGUGGAGCAUGUGGUUUAAUUCGAAGCAACGCGAAGAACCUUACCAGGUCUUGACAUCCUCUGACAAUCCUAGAGAUAGGACGUCCCCUUCGGGGGCAGAGUGACAGGUGGUGCAUGGUUGUCGUCAGCUCGUGUCGUGAGAUGUUGGGUUAAGUCCCGCAACGAGCGCAACCCUUGAUCUUAGUUGCCAGCAUUCAGUUGGGCACUCUAAGGUGACUGCCGGUGACAAACCGGAGGAAGGUGGGGAUGACGUCAAAUCAUC
rnacentral:rRNA from 1 species